GAAAUGCGAUAAGUAAUGUGAAUUGCAGAAUUCAGUGAAUCAUCGAAUCUUUGAACGCAGCUUGCGCUCCUUGGUAUUCCUUGGAGCAUGCCUGUUUGAGUAUCAUGAAAUCUUCAAAGUAAAUCUUUUGUUAACUCAAUUGGUUUCUACUUUGGUAUUGGAGGUCUUUGCAGCUUCACACCUGCUCCUCUUUGUUCAUUAGCUGGAUCUCAGUGUUAUGCUUGGUUCCACUCGGCGUGAUAAGUUAUCUAUCGCUGAGGACACUGUAAAAGGUGGCCAAGGUAAAUGCAGAUGAACCGCUUCUAAUAGUCCAUUGACUUGGACAAUACUUUUAUGAUCUGAUCUCAAAUCAGGUAGGACUACCCGCUGAACUUAAG
rnacentral:misc_RNA from 1 species